rnacentral:piRNA from 1 species
UUGGACAGAAAAUGGAUUUGUGGGC